ACAAACCUCGGUCCCUGGUUUUGCCGCCGGGUCCGGUCCUGAGCGCGCGGGAGUCCCGCCGCUUUAAACACGCAAGAUAGCGAGCCGUCACCCAGAACCGCAAGCGUAGUAAAGCUUUUGCCUCGCUGGUGUGGGAAGAUCCGCUUCGCCUUGCAAGCUUCAAUGACAC
rnacentral:misc_RNA from 1 species